rnacentral:rRNA from 1 species
UACGUAGGCCGCGAGCGUUGUUCGGAAUUACUGGGCGUAAAGAGUGUGUAGGCGGUGUUGUAAGUUCGGUGUGAAAUCUCCUGGCUUAACUGGGAGGGUGCGCCGGAAACUGGGGUGCUCGAGCGUGGGAGAGGAAAGCGGAAUUCCUGGUGUAGCGGUGAAAUGCGUAGAUAUCAGGAGGAACACCUGUGGUGGAGACAGCUUUCUGGACCAUUGCUGACGCUGAGACACGAAAGCGUGGGUAGCAAACAGG